rnacentral:rRNA from 1 species
UAGGGAAUCUUCGGCAAUGGACGAAAGUCUGACCGAGCAACGCCGCGUGAGUGAAGAAGGUUUUCGGAUCGUAAAACUCUGUUGUUAGAGAAGAACAAGGACGUUAGUAACUGAACGUCCCUUGACGGUAUCUAACCAGAAAGCCACGGCUAACUACGUGCCAGCAGCCGCGGUAAUACGUAGGUGGCAAGCGUUGUCCGGAUUUAUUGGGCGGAAAGCGAGCGCAGGCGGUUUCUUAAGUCUGAUGUGAAAGCCCCCGGCUCAACCGGUAAGGGUCAUUGGAAACUGGGAGACUUGAGUGCAGAAGAGGGGAGUGGAACUCCAUGUGUAGCGGUGAAAUGCGUAGAUAUAUGGAGGAACACCAGUGGCGAAGGCGGCUCUCUGGUAUGUAACUGACGCUGAGGCUCGAAAGCGUGGGGAGCAAACAGG